UGAGCCAGUCAGCUCCUCUAUCAAUUCGACUGGAAAGUUCCUAUUUAAACUGAUAGAGAGGUGGUGCUGCAGCAGCAUCUCCUCCAUUCUUUCCAAAUGUCAGCUAACAGCUUGCCUCUGCUGUGGAGAUAAGAGAAAACUUGAUGGCCACUCUGAAAACAAGCAUAAGUUGUGUGCUGGACUCUCCAUCACCAGAGAUUUUUAAAGCAGCUGAAGGAAACAAGGUCAUAAAGGCUGUCCCUGGAGAGAAGCUGGAGAGAUGGAUCCUGGGUCUCCCUGCUGGCAGGGGCUGGCAGAGCAGAGGGACCAGGAUGCUAUCUUCUUUCGUGUCAGCAGCAGAGGUACCCUGGGUGCAAAGUCCAGCUGAAACCCUGCUGUCUUUCGGCCGCUUCGGCUCCCUUUUGGUACACAGCCAAGAGGCAAGUGAAAACAUCCCACAGCUGAAGCCACCCCUGCACACACAAAUCCUCUUUACAUGGGAUUGGGGGGACACAUCUGGACCCCUCCAGCCUCUCCCACCCCGCUCAAUCUCCUUUAGGGAUCAUCAUCUGGAUGGUCCAGCUCGCUCCGCACGGCAGCAGGUGAGUCCACCUGCUCCUCCCACUGCAAUCCCGGGUUGUGCAACUGCUGUGGGAGUGGGGUG
rnacentral:lncRNA from 1 species